rnacentral:rRNA from 1 species
GAUGAACGCUGGCGGCGUGCCUAAUACAUGCAAGUAGAACGCUGAAGCUUGGUGCUUGCACCGAGCGGAUGAGUUGCGAACGGGUGAGUAACGCGUAGGUAACCUGCCCCUUAGCGGGGGAUAACUAUUGAAACCAAUACCUAAUACGGCAUAAAAGUCAUUAUGCCAUGAUAUGGAUUUAAAGGGUGCAAAUGCCUCACUAAAAGAUGGACCUGCGUUGUAUUCCCUAGUUGGUGAGGUAACGGCUCACCAGGCGACGAUACAUAGCCGACCUGAGAGGUGACCGGCCCACUGGGACUGAAACCCGGCCCAACUCCUACGGGAGCAGCAGUAAGGAAAUCUCCGGCAAUGGGCGGCACCCUUGCAACAAACAACCGCCCCCAUGAGUGAAAAAGGGUUUCCGAAUUAUAAAAGCUUUUGUUUUAAGAAAAAAAAACAAUGGU